CUGCUGCCGCCAUGAUGAGAAGGUCAAGCCCUCGCUCCAUGGCGCAGUCCUGGGGCCGCCAUUUCUCGGUGUUGCUGCCGCCAUGUUGGGGAGGUCGGCGCUGAGGCGAAGGUGCCAGGGCGGGUCCCGCUCCUUGUCCCGCUCCCUCCUGGUUUCCCUCCCUCACCCACAGCCCCGGGAGGCACGGCUGGGGCACGGGGACCCGCUCUGCCUGCAGCGGUGCCCCUCAGCACCUGCUGCAGCCCCACCAUGUCCCUGCGUUUCCCUCAGGGAGCUGGAGCCUGUGAGGGCUCAGCAGGAAGGUGGGGUGUGACCCGUUCCUGGAGGGCUGUGGUGCCUCUCUUCCCAUGGAGAGCCACAUCCCGCAUGGAGGAGCCUGCUCAGCCUGUGCCCGUGCCCUGACCGAGGGGAUGCUCCAGAAGCCUCACGGAGAGCCUGGAUUGCCGGGGAGAAACCACGGGAUGUGUCCCAGGUGCUUUGUGGAGGGCUGGGGUAACCUGGGGGGAGCCGUGGGGUUUGUCCUCCAGCAGGUGAGAACUCUUGGGUUGUGACACAGCCAUCACUGCUGCGAUUCCAAUGGAUCCCACCGACAUUUUUGGGAUGCUCGGGGUCAAACAUGGCUGGGAAGGGGAUUUCUUACAGCAGGAUGGAAGGAAACGUCCAAGAGAACGCCGCUGGAAGGGAUCGAGCCAACCAUGCCAGGCACAAACUCGGCUCCUGUUACCUUCUGGAAAAAUCCCAGAGGAUGGGCAGACACAGCCCCAGGCUGCUUCAAGUUUUCCUCCAUGGGCAGCAUUCCCAAAGAGAGAAAACGCCAUCUCUCGCCCCACUGAGCUGCCAAAAAGAGCUGAAAUCCAAGGAUUUAAUGCUCCCAAAGCACUGCACAACCCCCAGAUCCUCUCCAACAUUUCCACCUUGGAUGAACAGCCCCCCAAAAUCCACCUGGAGGGGUGUCCGGGGGUUUCCUGCCCAGAUUUUGGGCUUAGCAGAGGAGUGGGAGACUCAGGGUGAGGGCAGACCACAGGGAUCAGGAAUUAUUUUAGCUGGAGGUUUAUUGUGAUAUUUUUUAGGAGUAUAGUCGCCAUCUGCCGGCAAACUCUGGCUCUUGGGUGGGAAUUUGGGGGAAAAGUUAAGGAUUUAAGGGCAGGUUCUGUAGCUCCCUGUGUGAAAAUUUGGGUUUUAUUAGGAUUAGGACAGUUAAUUUUUGA